UGGCUCAGAACGAACGCUGGCGGCGUGCCUAACACAUGCAAGUCGAACGGGACUGGGGGCAACUCCAGUCCAGUGGCGGACGGGUGCGUAACACGUGAGGAACAUGACUCUCGGCGGGGGAUAGCCGGCCCAACGGCCGGGUAAUACCGCGUACGACCUUUCGGGGACAUCCCCGGUUGGUGAAAGCAGCAAUGCACCGAAAGAGUGCCUCGCGGCCUAUCAGCUAGUUGGUGAGGUAACGGCUCACCAAGGCGACGACGGGUAGCUGGUCUGAGAGGAUGGCCAGCCACAUUGGGACUGAGACACGGCCCAGACUCCUACGGGAGGCAGCAGUGGG
rnacentral:rRNA from 1 species